AAUUGGAGGGCAAGUCUGGUGCCAGCAGCCGCGGUAAUUCCAGCUCCAAUAGCGUAUAUUAAAGUUGUUGCAGUUAAAAAGCUCGUAGUUGAAUUUCGGGAUCAAUAUUUCGGUCAUGCCGUUGGUAUGCACUGUUAUCAUUGAUUUCUCACCUUCUAAAGAACCGUAAUGCCAUUAAUUUGGUGUUACGGGGAAUUAGGACUGUUACCUUGAAAAAAUUAGAGUGUUUAAAGCAGGCUCACGCUUGAAUACAUUAGCAUGGAAUAAUGAAAUAGGACAUCCGAUUCUAUUUUGUUGGUUUCUAGGAUCGAUGUAAUGAUUAAUAGGGAUAGUUGGGGGCAUUAGUAUUCAAUUGUCAGAGGUGAAAUUCUUGGAUUUAUUGAAGACUAACUACUGCGAAAGCAUUUGCCAAGGAUGUUUUCAUUGAUCAAGAACGAAAGUUAGGGGAUCGAAGACGAUCAGAUACCGUCGUAGUCUUAACCAUAAACUAUGCCGACUAGGGAUCGGAUGAUGUUAAUUUUUUAAUGACUCAUUCGGCGCCUUACGGGAAACCAAAGUGU
rnacentral:rRNA from 1 species